CGGCACGGGGAGGUAGUGACAAAAAAUAACGAUACGGGACUCAUCCGAGGCCCCGUAAUCGGAAUGAGAACACCCUAAAUCCUUUAACGAGGAUCUAUUGGAGGGCAAGUCUGGUGCCAGCAGCCGCGGUAAUUCCAGCUCCAAUAGCGUAUAUUAAAGUUGUUGCGGUUAAAAAGCUCGUAGUUGGUUCUGCGUGCCACGCUGUCGGUUCACCGCCUGCCGGUGCAACUGGCAUGCCGUGGCAUGUCCUGUCGGUGGCGGAUAGGCUUCGCGGCGUGCCCUAUGCGGUACACACUGUGUAGGCUGCUGCGCCGCGUCGUCCUUGUACGCCGGCUCAAUCCUACCGCGGUGCUCUUUACCGAGUGUCGAGGUAGGCCGACACUGUUUACUUUGAACAAAUUAGAGUGCUUAAAGCAGGCUCUUAAAUCAGCCUGAAUAGUGGUGCAUGGAAUAAUGGAACAGGACCUUGGUUCUAUUUUGUUGGUUUUCGGAAUCCAAGGUAAUGAUCAAUAAGGACAGGCGGGG
rnacentral:rRNA from 1 species